rnacentral:rRNA from 1 species
AUGCCGUUUCUGGAUGCUCAUAAGUUGUGGACGAAGCUUCAAGAUAAAUAUGGUGUGUCCAAGUUUUGUGGCGAUGAUUGUUCUCCCUUCACCUCCGGCCGCGUUGCCUUCACAACUUCUUCUACUUCACAUACAUGUGGAUUGCCACAAGGUAAUGCUAUGGUGAGUAGUGUUGGUCAUUGCAAUGAUGAUAGUGUGCUAAUCGUUGGUGACUCUUCAUCACUAUCUUAUUGCAAUGCUCCUUCUGUGGACUUUAACACUUCGAGCACUCCAAAUGUUUCACAUGCUUGUGUUGAUAGUCCUAGCAUAUCAUGUAGAAAUUGUUUGACUAAAUCUCAUGAUGAUAUGCUUGCUAUGUCUUGUUGCCAUGAUAAAAAUGCAUUUAUUUCCUUGAAUUGUUGUGCUAACAAUGUAGAGGAAACCGAACACUCCAUGGAACAAGAUGUGGUGUUUAAUGGUGCCUCAAGGGAUCCUACAUCAUCAUCUAUUGCUUUUUGCCUUAUGACUAAGGCGUAA